rnacentral:lncRNA from 1 species
ACUCGUAUCAUCAACAUUCCCCUUUUUCUCCCCUUUUCACUCCCAUGAUACCCUUUCCAUGCCUUUGUCCUCUAAACACGCCAAAAUUUUCCCCUUACCUUACCUUAGCCGGCCAUGCACCUAGACAUAUCCAUUUUUACUUUUUUUUCAUUUUUCUCUCAUCCUCUCUCUUUGCCAUCCACCACCUUACUCCUCCCUCUUUCUCUCAUUUUUUUCCAUUUCACCUCCUAAAUCACCCUUUUCUUCAGAUUUCUCCUCCACUCCACCACCACUCAAGGCCAUCACACCUCCAUAUCACUACCACCUCUCCUCCAUCACCACCUCCAUCGUCGUGCCACCGUUGUUAGCCACCGCCAAAAUU